GACGAACGCUGGCGGCGUGCUUAACACAUGCAAGUCGAACGCUGAAGCUCAGCUUUUGUUGGGUGGAUGAGUGGCGAACGGGUGAGUAACACGUGAGUAACCUGCCCCUUUCUUUGGGAUAACGCCCGGAAACGGGUGCUAAUACUGGAUAUUAUCUGGUCUUCGCAUGGGGGUUGUUGGAAAGGGCUUUUUUGGUGGGGGAUGUGCUCGCGGCCUAUCAGCUUGUUGGUGGGGUGAUGGCCUACCCAGGCGUUGGCGGGUAGCCGGCCUGAGAGGGUGACCGGUCACAGUGGGACUGAGAUACGGCCCAGACGACGACGGGGGGCAGCAGCGGGGGAAAUUGGACAAAGGGCGCAAGACUGAUGCAGCGACGGUGCGUGAGGGAUGGAGGCCGUCGGGUUGUGAACCUCUUUCGCUAAUGGUCAAGCCGCAACAAUGGUUGUGGUGAGGGUAGUGGGUAAAGAAGCGCCGGCUAACUACGUG
rnacentral:rRNA from 1 species